rnacentral:rRNA from 1 species
GAUGAACGCUGGCGGCGUGCCUAAUACAUGCAAGUCGAGCGAAUGGAUUAAGAGCUUGCUCUUAUGAAGUUAGCGGCGGACGGGUGAGUAACACGUGGGUAACCUGCCCAUAAGACUGGGAUAACUCCGGGAAACCGGGGCUAAUACCGGAUAACAUUUUGAACCGCAUGGUUCGAAAUUGAAAGGCGGCUUCGGCUGUCUCUUAUGGAUGGACCCGCGUCGCAUUAGCUAGUUGGUGAGGUAACGGCUCACCAAGGCAACGAUGCGUAGUCGACCUGAGAGGGGGAUCGGCCACACAGGGACUGAGACACGGCACAGACUUCUACGGGAGGCAGCAGUAGGGAAUCUUCCGCAAUGGACGAAAGUCUGACGGAGCAACGCCGCGUGAGUGAUGAAGGCUUUCGGGUCGUAAAACUCUGUUGUUAGGGAAGAACAAGUGCUAGUUGAAUAAGCUGGCACCUUGACGGUACCUAACCAGAAAGCCACGGCUAACUACGUGCCAGCCGCCGCAGUAA